rnacentral:rRNA from 1 species
AGUCGAGGGGCAGCACGAGGUAGCAAUACUUUGGUGGCGACCGGCGCACGGGUGAGUAACGCGUAUGCAACCUUCCUUUUACAGGAGGAUAGCUUCCGGAAACGGAAAUUAAUACUCCAUACAAUUACGAAGUGGCAUCACUUUCAGAUUAAAGCUACGGCGGUAAAAGAUGGGCAUGCGUAACAUUAGCUAGUUGGUGAGGUAAAGGCUCACCAAGGCGACGAUGUUUAGGGGUCCUGAGAGGGUUAUCCCCCACACUGGUACUGAGACACGGACCAGACUCCUACGGGAGGCAGCAGUGAGGAAUAUUGGUCAAUGGGCGCAAGCCUGAACCAGCCAUCCCGCGUGCAGGAAGACGGCCCUAUGGGUUGUAAACUGCUUUUCUGAGGGAAGAAUAACGCUGAUUCGUUCAGUGGACGACGGUACCUCAGGAAUAAGCAUCGGCUAACUCCGUGCCAGCAGCCGCGGUAAUACGGAGGAUGCAAGCGUUAUCCGGAUUCAUUGGGUUUAAAGGGUGCGUAAGGCGGACUGGUAAGUCAGUGGGUGAAAUCCUGCAGCUUAACUGUGGAAUUGCCAUUGAAACUGUCAGUCUUGAGUCAGGUUGAGGUAGGCGGAAUGUGUAAUGUAGCGGUGAAAUGCCAUAGAUAUUACACAGAACACCGAUUGCGUAGGCAGCUUACUGGACCUGCACUGACGCUGAG